rnacentral:lncRNA from 1 species
CUUCCCCAGCCAUAUGGAACGGGAUUCAUCAUGAAUAUCCAUAAUAUGGUUUCUAAAAAUGCAUGAAGGAAUCAGAGGAGACCUGCUAACCAUGAAAAGAAGAGCAUAGCAAUAGAGAACCAAAGUGGCACAAGAAUGAUCAUCUUUGAAUAAUUUAGAAUCAAAUAACAUCAAAUCAACAAACACUUAUUGAAGCUCUCCAUCUUUCCAUCCUUGAUUCCUGUGUUAUUCAGCAUUUUUGGUAGGUUUCCAGCAGGCAGCCUUCUCUCAAAAGUACUGUUAGGUUGUAAUGUUUGCAAGUGCUGUCUUCAGGCUCUCUUACUGCUGAUGAGUAUCAAUCACAUAAAAUUGUGUAAACUCCUGCUUCAUAAAAAAGCAAGAGGCAAAAAUCUUCCUGCUUGGCAUUUCAAUGAAGUUGAAUUCAAUGUCAUGAUAGCAGUAAAUAUAAAUUGAUUUCUAGUAUAAUAACCAAUAAGGAGACCCUAAGUUUCUCUCAGAACCCAGAUAGCAUGUAAUAAAUUCUCCAUAUCUUGACAAAUUUUUAAACAAAGUAUUUUAGCUCUUCUUCCAGCUUUCAAAAUAUGCAUUAAAACCAGAAGACAAAGACUUAAAUCCAAAUGCAGUAUCAUCAUAUGGCAAUGUCACAUAAUUGCAUGAAAAAGUUGAUUCUAAAUUAUAAAAUUCAUUAUAAAUAAAAGGUGAGAAUGCAGUGAUAUAUAGUGUAGUGGUACCAGACAACAUGAGUUGAAAUCCUAAAUUAACCGCUUAAUAGAUGCAUAACCUUGUCAUAUUUCUUAACAUAUGUGUGCUUCAUUUUCUUUGUCUGUAAAUAAGAAUAAUGGUAACUACUUUAUAGGAUAGUUGCAAAAAUUCUAUGGAUUAAUAAUGCCUGGCACAUAGUAAGCGCCAAAAAUUGUGUUUGUCAUUAUUAGUAGUAUUGCUAGUACUAUUACUCCUAUGAAUAAAAGACUCCAUGAGCAAUUAGGAAAAUAAAGUGAUGCUUACCAGGAGUCAAUAUGUAUUCAGC